GCCGGAUUAGCUCAGGGGUAGAGCAACCGCCUUGUAAGCGGUAGGUCAAGUGUUCGAAUCACUUAUCCGGCACCA
rnacentral:tRNA from 1 species